UUUUGGAUGCAAAAUUGUUUCAAAAUUUGGUUUUGAUUUCAAAUAAUCAAAUGGGGGACUCCACCGAUGUGUAUUCAGCAGGCGUAUUCUCUGCUACAAAAGAUGUUAGGGAUAAGCUAAAUCAGCUUUUCAUCGAUAUAUUAAGCGGAGACAUGCAAAAAGAAAAUCUGCAUAUCUGGCGGUUAAAGACCAACAUGGUAAUGCGAGAAUGUGUUCAUCAUCAACAAAAUGCAUUGAAUGCUUUCAGAUAUAAGUUUCCACAUGAUGUUAACAUCAAUCAGGAAAUUCAAGAGCUCAAAGAAUUUUCUGACGAACUAAAGAAAGAAUAUAUACAAUUGCAAACCGAAGCAUAUAAUAUCGAGUUAAGUUUUUUAAUAAAAAGUCGAGGCACACAGACGGAGAACAGCGAUAGUGAACUCUAAUCAAAGGAAAUUUAGGAAUUAAAUUUUAACUGUAAGAAAUUUACAGAGAGUUUGGAGGACUGGCCAAAAUUUAAUUCAAAAUUUGAAUUGCAACAAUAUUCCUAUGGGAGACUCCAACUAUAAAUGCUUGGUGGGCAUAGCCAAUGCAAGAAAAAAAAUUCAGAAUAAUUUAAUUAAACUAGUCGGUUCUCUGUUGCUUUCCCCUUUGAUUGAUGAAAAUAUGCCCUUUAGUCAAUUACUUGCGAAUAGAGGAAUCCACGCUUGUCUCACUGUGCAUCUAAAAGCAUUAAAUGUCCUAAAAGGAAAAUAUCCUGAUAACAGAAUAUUAAAACAAGAAACGGAAAAAUAUAAACAUUUGGCUAAUCAUAUAGAACAGAAGCUUGAACAUUUAUUGAAUGCUUUAACUGAAAGUGAUUGGAGAUAUAUUGAAGGAACUGACGAGAGUAACGAUAGUGAAGUUGAAUCAGAAAUUAACUGAUUUGGUUAACACAGAUCAGUUCUUUGAUAAAAAUAAAUUUCAAUGGGUGACUCCAGUGAUGAUUGUUCAGUUAGCAUAACUUCUGCUACAAAUGCUUUUAGGGAAAAUCUUAUGGAAUUAGUUGACACGUUGUCAAGCGGAUCUCUUGCUGAUAAAAGUAUUACCGCUAGACAAAUUUGGGCCAACAGAAAAAUGCUAGAAUGUGUGCAAAAACAUCAAGAAGUGUUAACUACAUUAAAAUCUAAAUAUCCUAACAAUGUCAACUUAGAACAAGAAGUUCAAACUUUUAAGCAGCAUGCCAACGAACUUCAGUUGGAUUAUGAACAACUAUUGAAUGGCUCGAAACAAGACGAAGAUGAAGAAUCCCUUGACAGUAGCGACAAUAAAAUUGACUAAAAACUUGAUUCAAAAUCCAAUAUAAUUAUGGAGAUAUUUUUGGAUCAUUGACUAGUGUUAGUAUUACUCAUUCAAGUGGUAAACUAAUGGUAUGACAUUUUUAGCAACACAAGACUACAAUUAAAUAUCUAAGUAAAAUUUAUAUUUCAGUAAUAGGAAAAGAAAAUUGUUUUCAACGCAAAUAUGCAAGACUCAAACAGUGAAGAUGAACAAUUCGUAGACGAUUGAUAAGAGCGACUAAACUAGAAGUUAUGAUAAUGGCAACCUAUGUUUCCGAACAACUAGAAACUUUAUUCACCAAAAAGAUCUGUUCAAAGUUUUAUUCUGAUUGUGAUGGAAUGCUGAAAUAUUCAUUUCAAUCCAAAAGCCUACAAUUGUGUUUCUAUGUUGUUGGUAGAUUAAAAAAACUUUACCCACUGCAACGAUACGUUUGUCAGGAAGCUUUUGACUCUUAACAGACAAUCAUCGAAUUUAUACUAUUUAUUUGUAGUAUAACCUUAUGAACUCUCUUUAAAUAUGUUCGAAAUUCUAUCAAUUUGAGUUUAUUUCUUGUGAAGAAGAUGAGUGCAUUGUAAUGACGAGUGUUAUAUAUAAAUAAAACCGAAAAUUACAUUAUUCUUGAUUUCUUCGGUUCCCAUUGAUGGCUCAAAUGUAAAUAUGCAGCGCCACUGAAUAACCUGAACUGUAA